rnacentral:rRNA from 1 species
GUCGAACGAGAAAGUGGAGCAUCCAUGAGUAAGUGGCGCACGGGUGAGUAACACGUGACUAACCUACCCUCGAGUGGGGAAUACUCGGGAAACCGGGGCUAACACCGAUAAUAUCUACGGAUCAAAUGCGUAAGCAGCUUGAGGAGGGGGUCGCGGUGAUUACUAGUUGGGGGGUAAUGGCCACCAAGGAGUGAUCAGUACCGGCUGAAAGGGGCAGGCAAUGAACUGAAACACGGUCCAGACUCCUACGGGAAGCAGCAGUGGGGAAUUUUGCGCAAUGGGGGAAAACCUGACGCAGGCAACGCCGCGUGGAGGAUGAAGCCCCUUGGGGUGUAAACUCCUUUCGAUCGGGACGAUUAUGACGGUACCGGAUGAAGAAGCACCGGCUAACUCUGUGCCAGCAGCCGCGGUAAUACAGAGGGUGCAAGCGUUGUUCGGAAUUAUUGGGCGUAAAGGGUGCGUAGCGGUGCGGUAAGUCUUC